AACGAACGCUGGCGGCAUGCCUAACACAUGCAAGUCGAACGAGACCUUCGGGUCUAGUGGCGCACGGGUGCGUAACGCGUGGGAACCUGCCCUUAGGUUCGGAAUAACUCCCCGGAAGGGGUGCUAAUACCGGAUAAUGUCUUCGGACCAAAGAUUUAUCGCCUUUGGAUGGGCCCGCGUUGGAUUAGCUAGUUGGUAGGGUAAAAGCCUACCAAGGCGACGAUCCAUAGCUGGUCUGAGAGGAUGAUCAGCCACACUGGGACUGAGACACGGCCCAGACUCCUACGGGAGGCAGCAGUGGGGAAUAUUGGACAAUGGGCGAAAGCCUGAUCCAGCAAUGCCGCGUGAGUGAUGAAGGCCUUAGGGUUGUAAAGCUCUUUUAGCCGGGAUGAUAAUGACAGUACCGGGAGAAUAAGCUCCGGCUAACUCCGUG
rnacentral:rRNA from 1 species